UGGCAGUCAACCCACAUGUUGCCACUCUUCUGUGCAAAUUCCAAUGGAAUUUCUGAAAUUCACACUUUGAAUCCUGGGAUGGAACUUCAUCUGGAGCAUAAUUGUUAUUUGGUUGAUUUUUAUCUGUUUGAUGGAAAGUUUGUAUGACUUCUGCAAGUGCGCGGCUCCUUCCGGUCAGUCAU